rnacentral:rRNA from 1 species
UACGGAGGGAGCUAGCGUUGUUCGGAAUUACUGGGCGUAAAGCGCACGUAGGCGGCUACUCAAGUCGGGGGUGAAGGCCCGGGGCUCAACCCCGGAACUGCCCUCGAAACUAGGUGGCUAGAAUCUUGGAGAGUCAGUGGAAUUCCGAGUGUAGAGGUGAAAUUCGUAGAUAUUCGGAAGAACACCAGUGGCGAAGGCGACUGACUGGACAAGUAUUGACGCUGAGGUGGCGAAAAGCGUGGGGAGCAAACAGG